rnacentral:rRNA from 1 species
UACCUACGGGGGGCAGCAGUGGGGAAUAUUGCACAAUGGGGGAAACCCUGAUGCAGCAACGCCGCGUGAGUGAAGAAGUAUUUCGGUAUGUAAAGCUCUAUCAGCAGGGAAGAAGAUGACGGUACCUGAUUAAGAAGCCCCGGCUAACUACGUGCCAGCAGCCGCGGUAAUACGUAGGGGGCAAGCGUUAUCCGGAUUUACUGGGUGUAAAGGGAGCGCAGACGGCAGUGCAAGUCUGGAGUGAAAGCCCG